AGUCUGGUGCCAGCAGCCGCGGUAAUUCCAGCUCCAAUAGCGUAUAUUAAAGUUGUUGCAGAUAAAAAGUUCGUAGUUGAAUUUCUGAGCGCGGCGGCGGUCCGCCUUACGGUGUGCACUGGCUUGUCCGCGCUCAAACCUUGCGGAGAAGACGUGUGGCCUUUACUGGUUGUGCGUUGGAUCCGCAUCAAUUACUGUGAGCAAAUUAGAGUGUUUAAAGCGGGCGUUCGCUUGAAUACAUUAGCAUGGAAUAAUGAGAUAGGACUUUGGCGCUAUUUCGUUGGUUGCGUGCCAGAGUAAUGAUUAAUAGGGACAGUUGGGGGUAUUCAUAUUUGAUUGUCAGAGGUGAAAUUCAUGGAUUUAUCAAAGAUGAACAACUGCGUAAGCAUUUACCAAGGAUGUUUUCAUUAAUCAAGAUCGAAAGUCAGGGGAUCGAAGAGGAUUAGAUACCCUCGUAGUCUUGACCAUAAACUAUGCCGACUCAGGAUUGGCGGAGUUCUUCAAUGUCUCCGCCAGCACUGUAUGAUAAAUCAAAGUCUUUGGGUUCCGGGGGGAGUAUGGUCGCAAGGCUGAAACUUAAAGGAAUUGACGGAAGGGCACACCAGGAGUGGAGCCUGCGGCUUAAUUUGACCCAACACGGGGAAACUUACCAGGUCCAGACAUAGUAAGGAUUGACAGAUUGAGAGCUCUUUCUUGAUUCUAUGGGUGGUGGUGCAUGGCCGUUCUUAGUUGGUGGAGUGAUUUGUCAGGUUAAUUCCGGUAACGAACGAGACCUCCGCCUGCUAAAUAGUCACGUGAUGGUUCCCAUCCACGGACGACUUCUUAGAGGGACUACGGGCGGUGAGCUCGCGGAAGUUGGAGGCAAUAACAGGUCUGUGAUGCCCUUAGAUGUUCUGGGCCGCACGCGCGCUACACUGACUGGUUCAGCAAGCUUUAUCCUUUGCUCCGAAAGGCAAGGGUAAUCUUUGAACGCCAGUCGUGAUGGGGAUAGAUUCCUGUAAUGAUAAUCUUCAACGAGGAAUUCCUAGUAAACGCGACUCAUCAGGUCGCAUUGAUUACGUCCCUGCCCUUUGUACACACCGCCCGUCGCACCUACCGAUUGAAUGGUCCGGUGAAACUCUCGGAUCGUGGUCGAAUGCCUCUUCACGGGGGCGUCGACCGCGAGAAGUUAUUUUAACCUUAUCAUUUAGAGGAAGGUGAAGUC
rnacentral:rRNA from 1 species